CUGGGCAGCACCCCUGGGCUUGCCUCCGCUCCACUCAGCGCUGGACAGUUNUCUGAAGCUUUAGCAANCCCAGCCAGAGUCCAUGCUCCUUUGAACACAGGUCCAAGAGCCCAGGGUCUGCGAAGCCCAGGUCAAGAAGCUCGGUGAGAGGUCUGAGAGGCAACAGGCGGGACCCACGGACACCAGCAUGAAUGUCCCGUUCCUCUCACUCUGUCUGGCGCUGGGAUCCCGUAAACCUACAGCACAUCCCACUGCAAAUGUCUUGCAAGGCUGAUGGGGAAUCAGAGAGAACGACCUGCUGGCCCAGCUCAGCGGUGUCGGGUGCUCUCCUGGGUGCCAGUUCCCAGAUGCCCGGGUGUAGUCUGCAGAACCAGCUCCGUGUUAUGCUUGAGAGUGACUGGAUUUACCAAGGACACUGCUGCACAGUGGCAGGACAGCCCUGAGACCUGCGCCGCCUCCCGUCUCCAAACUAUUUUAAGCUGAUCUUCUGGCUUUGCCUCCUGUGUGUGUGUGAUGGGGCUGUUUCCUCGGUGGGUUCUCAGAGCCUCUCCUCGAUCUUUGGGUUCUCAGAGACACCAACUCCUG
rnacentral:lncRNA from 1 species